UGAGUAACACGUGAGUAACCUGCCCUUGACUCUGGGAUAAGCCUGGGAAACUGGGUCUAAUACCGGAUAUGACCUUCCAUCGCAUGGUGGUUGGUGGAAAGCUUUUGUGGUUUUGGAUGGACUCGCGGCCUAUCAGCUUGUUGGUGGGGUAAUGGCCUACCAAGGCGACGACGGGUAGCCGGCCUGAGAGGGUGACCGGCCACACUGGGACUGAGACACGGCCCAGACUCCUACGGGAGGCAGCAGUGGGGAAUAUUGCACAAUGGGCGAAAGCCUGAUGCAGCGACGCCGCGUGAGGGAUGACGGCCUUCGGGUUGUAAACCUCUUUCAGUAGGGAAGAAGCGUAAGUGACGGUACCUGCAGAAGAAGCGCCGGCUAACUACGUGCCAGCAGCCGCGGUAAUACGUAGGGCGCAAGCGUUAUCCGGAAUUAUUGGGCGUAAAGAGCUCGUAGGCGGUUUGUCGCGUCUGCCGUGAAAGUCCGGGGCUCAACUCCGGAUCUGCGGUGGGUACGGGCAGACUAGAGUGAUGUAGGGGAGACUGGAAUUCCUGGUGUAGCGGUGAAAUGCGCAGAUAUCAGGAGGAACACCGAUGGCGAAGGCAGGUCUCUGGGCAUUAACUGACGCUGAGGAGCGAAAGCAUGGGGAGCGAACAGGAUUAGAUACCCUGGUAGUCCAUGCCGUAAACGUUGGGCACUAGGUGUGGGGGACAUUCCACGUUUUCCGCGCCGUAGCUAACGCAUUAAGUGCCCCGCCUGGGGAGUACGGCCGCAAGGCUAAAACUCAAAGGAAUUGACGGGGGCCCGCACAAGCGGCGGAGCAUGCGGAUUAAUUCGAUGCAACGCGAAGAACCUUACCAAGGCUUGACAUGAACCGGACCGCUGCAGAAAUGUGGUUUCCCCUUUGGGGCUGGUUUACAGGUGGUGCAUGGUUGUCGUCAGCUCGUGUCGUGAGAUGUUGGGUUAAGUCCCGCAACGAGCGCAACCCUCGUUCUAUGUUGCCAGCACGUGAUGGUGGGGACUCAUAGGAGACUGCCGGGGUCAACUCGGAGGAAGGUGGGGACGACGUCAAAUCAUCAUGCCCCUUAUGUCUUGGGCUUCACGCAUGCUACAAUGGCCGGUACAAAGGGUUGCGAUACUGUGAGGUGGAGCUAAUCCCAAAAAGCCGGUCUCAGUUCGGAUUGGGGUCUGCAACUCGACCCCAUGAAGUCGG
rnacentral:rRNA from 1 species